rnacentral:rRNA from 1 species
UACGUAGGGGGCAAGCGUUGUCCGGAUUUAUUGGGCGUAAAGAGCGUGUAGGCGGCCAAGCAGGUCCGCUGUGAAAACUCGAGGCUCAACCUCGAGACGCCGGCGGAAACCCUUUGGCUAGAGUCCGGAAGAGGAGAGUGGAAUUCCUGGUGUAGCGGUGAAAUGCGCAGAUAUCGGGAAGAACACCCGUGGCGAAGGCGGCUCUCUGGGACGGUACUGACGCUGAGACGCGAAAGCGUGGGGAGCGAACAGG